rnacentral:rRNA from 1 species
GUGUCAGCAGCCGCGGUAAUACAGAGGGUGCAAGCGUUGUCCGGAAUUACUGGGCGUAAAGGGCGCGUAGGCGGCCCGAUAAGUCGGGGGUGAAAUUCAGCGGCUCAACCGCUGGACUGCCUUCGAGACUGUCAGGCUCGAGCACGGUAGAGGCUGGUGGAAUUCCCGGUGUAGCGGUGGAAUGCGUAGAGAUCGGGAAGAACAUCGGUGGCGAAGGCGGCCAGCUGGGCCGUUGCUGACGCUGAGGCGCGACAGCGUGGGGAGCAAACAGGAUUAGAAACCCCUGUAGUCC